GACGAACGCUGGCGGCGUGCUUAACACAUGCAAGUCGAACGGAAAGGCCCUGCUUUUGUGGGGUGCUCGAGUGGCGAACGGGUGAGUAACACGUGAGUAACCUGCCCUUGACUUUGGGAUAACUUCAGGAAACUGGGGCUAAUACCGGAUAGGAGCUCCUGCUGCAUGGUGGGGGUUGGAAAGUUUCGGCGGUUGGGGAUGGACUCGCGGCUUAUCAGCUUGUUGGUGGGGUAGUGGCUUACCAAGGCUUUGACGGGUAGCCGGCCUGAGAGGGUGACCGGACACAUUGGGACUGAGAUACGGCCCAGACUCCUACGGGAGGGAGCAGUGGGGAAUAUUGCAAAAUGGGCGGAAGCCUGAUGCAGCAACGCCGCGUGCGGGAUGACGGCCUUCGGGUUGUAAACCGCUUUCGCCUGUGACGAAGCGUGAGUGACGGUAAUGGGUAAAGAAGCACCGGCUAACUACGUG
rnacentral:rRNA from 1 species